rnacentral:rRNA from 1 species
UACGGAGGGUGCAAGCGUUAUCCGGAUUUACUGGGCGUAAAGGGCGCGUAGGCGGCCACCGCAAGUCGACUGUGAAAUCUCCGGGCUUAACUCGGAAAGGUCAGCCGAUACUGCGGGGCUAGAGUGCAGAAGGGGCAACUGGAAUUCUCGGUGUAGCGGUGAAAUGCGUAGAUAUCGAGAGGAACACCUGCGGCGAAGGCGGGUUGCUGGGCUGACACUGACGCUGAAGCGCGAAAGCUAGGGGAGCGAACGGG